AUAAAACUGAUGCAAAAAAGCUAAAUGGGAUCACAAUAGACUGAAGGCAAGAGAAGAAAUUGAUCAGAGGGUUCGGUGUUAUAGUCACGAUCUUGAAAUCCCUCAGAGAUGGCACUUGCACUGGGAGAAACAGCUAUGAUGUCUUGAGCAGUCCCCUGGAGAGAGCCAAGUGGUGAAUUGCAACCUCCUGCCAGCACUGGGCACCAUCUAGGCAGCCAUGGGUGUAAGCUGUAUUGGAAGUGACUCUUCCAGGAAUUCACCAGUGUAGCAGAUUGGAUUCUCUGCAACAACUGCUGAGAUGGAAUUUGAGGAUGAAAGAUGGUUAUUAUGAAUUAACAUCUGUGGAGGGAGACACAGACAGGAUUCAACUCAACUCCAAGUUACUGUGGAGCAAGCAAUGCCCAUUAGGUUUCAGUUGUUUUCAACAGAAGGGCGGGUCCAAGACCAACUCCUCCAUCAGGCAGACCAGAAGAGUUUAAAAAUUUUGGAAGUACAAAAGGCAGCAAGAAACCCAGACCACAGCUUGGAAUGUUUGGCUGUAGACCCUUUCUCAGGUACUGGGGAUUGAACUUGGGACCUUGCACUUGCGUGGCAGGCAGCAGAACCACUGAGCUAAAUCUCCAGCCCAAUGUAACCCAGGCUGGAUUGAACUUUCAACUAUCCUCUUGCUUCAGUCUCCCAAAUGCUGGGAUUACUGGUCUUUGACGGUACUGCCACAUUCCAUAAUCAUAUCUGCAAAAAAGACACAAGUAAAUGGAUCCUGUAUGGAUCUUCAGUUUCAUAUGCUUCUGACAGGUCUCAUCUGAAGUUUGCAAUGAUCUGGAUUGAGAUCUAAUGAUUACUGACUGUUAUCUGAUCACUGUAACAAGGCUACUGAGCCAAGGAAAGUAUCCUUUGACAAGGAUUGGUCAAGAAAACAUCAACAAUGCAGACUGUUCCUAAUAAUAAAACUGUUAUCAUUCCUUGAGUGCUUAAUAUUGGCAGAUCCCACAUACCCAACGUCUGAUUUAAUACUUUCAACAAUUUUAUGAGCCUUGUAGGACAAUCUUUAUUUUACAGAUAGGAAAAUUUCAGUUCACAGAAGUUUGAUAAUUUGCUUAAGAUAUAGCUGAUGAGUGGUUUGUCCCAAGUUUUGAUACCAAACCACAUGCCCUUGUCAUGACACAAAGUUCCCAUUCUUUUUGAGUUCCUUCACAGCUUUAAAUGCUUUCAUAUUAUCACAAUUGGCAAAAUGUGAAGACAUUCUGAAAAAAAACCCCUGCCAUGGUAAGAGAUUUAGAAAACAGAGUAGAAAUCUUUAAGGAUCAGAUCUGAAGUCAGUAAAUUAAAUGAAAAUAGUAUGUAGAAGAAUCAACCUUGAGUAACUGUGAUGAAGUAAAUAUACCCCACCUAUCUCUGAUCACAACUAAAAAUUGACCAGAAUACAUAAAGCAACUACCUGAGAACUGAAGUAUAAACAGCAGUAGUCAUGUUGGGAAGGAAAAUGAAAUCAUAAACAGUGACUGAUACAGGGGUAGGUUUUCUUUUCUUUUUUUCUUUGUUUGAAGUCCACCAUACCUUUUGAUUUAUACUUGAGAGCAGCCUAAAUGCUGGAAUUCUGCAAUGGCCAUGGAAAGAAGAAAGCUCCAAUGAAAACCUUCACUUUUUAGAGAGAAGAAAAAAAGCAGGAAGUAGGUUCUUUGUAGGACAAAAUGUGUAAUAAAAAUGCCUCCUCUCUUAAUUUUCUCUCUUUUUACUCUUGCAGUUCUGCUCUGUACUUCUGAAAUAGCAGCAGUGGUUGCACAGAGAUCUCACUCUUUGAAGAAAGUCCUCCUUUUGGACCAGUGGACCCUGUGGUGCUGCCUUGCUCUUAUGGACCCUGUGUUGCUGCUUUGCUCUUAAGAUCAAUUCAAUCCCUGAAGUAUGUAACAGUGCAGAGAGGAUAAAAUCCCAAUUUUUCAGCUACAGAACCAGGAUAGAAGACUCUUGGGAGUUGGAAAGUAUGAGAAAGGGGAUAUCACAGAGAGCCCCUAAAACUGAAUUUAAACAGGACCCUGACACUCAAAAAAAAAAAAUGUUCUCAAUGUCCAUAAUAUAAUUCAAGAUCAUGGAACAUACAGAGAAUCUGGAAAAAUCUCAAUAAUUCUCAUGGGAAAAUGACAACUAGCAGAUUUUAACCCUAAAAUAAUCUGGAUGUUAGAAUUAACAAGGUCUUUAAAGCAGUUAUUAACUAUGGUUCAUUAAGUAAGGGCAAAUGCUAUUGAAGUGAAGGAAAAGAUAGGAGUUUUCAUCAAAUUCAUAAAAAUUAUAAGAAGAAACAAACAUUUUAUGAUAAAUGAAAUAAUAUUAUGUUAAUAGAAAUAAAAAUCCCCCUGUACUGGUUUAUUAGAAGUGUGGAGAUAGAGUAGUGAAGGAACUUGAAAAUAAAAUUAUCCAGAGAAAAUUUUAAAAUAUUUUGAAUAUAUCAAAAAUUAUAAGCUGCUACAAAGGUAGCACUUAUAAAAACACUA